AAGUCCCUUCGGGAAUGCCAGUUUUGACAGAAGGCCAAUUACAGCAAACAAACUUUUACAUUUCACGCAUAGAAAUCC
rnacentral:tRNA from 1 species